UUUUUUUUUAGUUUUUUC
rnacentral:sRNA from 1 species